AUCGCGUGGGUAAUCUACCUUGAGGUGGGGGAUAGCCUCGGGAAACCGAGGGUAAUACCGCAUGAGUCCUCAAUGACAUAAGUCGAUGAGGGGAAAGGCGGGGCUCCUUCGGGACCUGUCGCCUCUAGAUGAGCCCGCGUUCGAUUAGCUAGUUGGUGGGGUAAUGGCCUACCAAGGCAACGAUCGAUAGCCGGCCUGAGAGGGUGAACGGCCACAUUGGGACUGAGACACGGCCCAG
rnacentral:rRNA from 1 species